rnacentral:rRNA from 1 species
AUUGAACGCUGGCGGCAGGCUUAACACAUGCAAGUCGAGCGGGCGUAGCAAUACGUCAGCGGCGUAAGGGACAGGAACACGUAGACUACCUGCCCUCGGGUCUGGGAUAGCCACGGGAAACUGUGGGUAAUACCAGAUGACAUCUCCGGAUCAAAGGUGUGAUUCCGCCCGAGGAUGGGUCUGCGUCCUAUUAGCUAGUUGGUGAGGUAACGGCUCACCAAGGCGAUGAUGGGUAGCAGGUGUGAGAGCACGACCUGCGUCAUUGGGACUGAGAUACUGCCCAGACACCUACGGGUGGCUGCAGUCGAGAAUUUUUGGCAAUGGGGGCAACCCUGACCAAGCGAUGCCGCGUGCGGGAUGAAGGCCUUCGGGUUGUAAACCGCUGUCAGUGGGGAGAAAAGGAUGGUGAGUUAUCUCAUCAUUUUGAUCUAUCCGCAGAGGAAGUGAGGGCUAAGCUCGUGCCAGCAGCCGCAGUAA